UACGGAGGGGGCAAGCGUUACUCGGAAUUAUUGGGCGUAAAGGGCGCGUAGGCGGUUCCGUGCGUCGGAGGUGAAAUCCCCGGGCUUAACCCGGGAGCUGCCUCCGAUACGGCGGGACUUGAGUCCGGGAGAGGGGAGCAGAAUUCCCAGUGUAGCGGUGAAAUGCGUAGAUAUUGGGAGGAAUACCAGUGGCGAAGGCGGCUCCCUGGACCGGUACUGACGCUGAGGCGCGAAAGCGUGGGUAGCAAACAGG
rnacentral:rRNA from 1 species